CCAUUAAUGGGAAAAAGUCACCAUCACGUGGUUCCUUUGAAGCAACAGCUGUAGAUAAGACUACUGUGUCACCAUAACGAACUAAAACAGCACCGUUAGCUUGUUUAGCAAGCUGCCCUGUUUCAAUCGUUAAUGAUCUAUUUGCCCAUUCAGUUUUAAAAACUUUUUUCUCUUGAGACAUUACGAAUCUCCUCUCAUAUAUCUAUUAGUUCUAUCAUAUCAUUUCUAAGAAAUUUUUUAUAUUAGUAUUUACUUUUUAAAAUACGCUUUAUAAAUUAUUAAAAAAGGGAAAGGACCCUUAAGG
rnacentral:antisense_RNA from 1 species